ACCGGAGAAUGUUAUCACGGGAGACACACGGCGGGUGCUAACGUCCGUCGUGAAGAGGGAAACAACCCAGACCGCCAGCUAAGGUCCCAAAGUCAUGGUUAAGUGGGAAACGAUGUGGGAAGGCCCAGACAGCCAGGAUGUUGGCUUAGAAGCAGCCAUCAUUUAAAGAAAGCGUAAUAGCUCACUGGUCGAGUCGGCCUGCGCGGAAGAUGUAACGGGGCUAAACCAUGCACCGAAGCUGCGGCAGCGACGCUGAUGCGUUGUUGGGUAGGGGAGCGUUCUGUAAGCCUGUGAAGGUGGCCUGUGAGGGUUGCUGGAGGUAUCAGAAGUGCGAAUGCUGACAUAAGUAACGAUAAAGCGGGUGAAAAGCCCGCUCGCCGGAAGACCAAGGGUUCCUGUCCAACGUUAAUCGGGGCAGGGUGAGUCGACCCCUAAGGCGAGGCCGAAAGGCGUAGUCGAUGGGAAACAGGUUAAUAUUCCUGUACUUGGUGUUACUGCGAAGGGGGGACGGAGAAGGCUAUGUUGGCCGGGCGACGGUUGUCCCGGUUUAAGCGUGUAGGCUGGUUUUCCAGGCAAAUCCGGAAAAUCAAGGCUGAGGCGUGAUGACGAGGCACUACGGUGCUGAAGCGACAAAUGCCCUGCUUCCAGGAAAAGCCUCUAAGCAUCAGGUAACAUCAAAUCGUACCCCAAACCGACACAGGUGGUCAGGUAGAGAAUACCAAGGCGCUUGAGAGAACUCGGGUGAAGGAACUAGGCAAAAUGGUGCCGUAACUUCGGGAGAAGGCACGCUGAUAUGUAGGUGAAGCGACUUGCUCGUGGAGCUGAAAUCAGUCGAAGAUACCAGCUGGCUGCAACUGUUUAUUAAAAACACAGCACUGUGCAAACACGAAAGUGGACGUAUACGGUGUGACGCCUGCCCGGUGCCGGAAGGUUAAUUGAUGGGGUUAGCGGUAACGCGAAGCUCUUGAUCGAAGCCCCGGUAAACGGCGGCCGUAACUAUAACGGUCCUAAGGUAGCGAAAUUCCUUGUCGGGUAAGUUCCGACCUGCACGAAUGGCGUAAUGAUGGCCAGGCUGUCUCCACCCGAGACUCAGUGAAAUUGAACUCGCUGUGAAGAUGCAGUGUACCCGCGGCAAGACGGAAAGACCCCGUGAACCUUUACUAUAGCUUGACACUGAACAUUGAGCCUUGAUGUGUAGGAUAGGUGGGAGGCUUUGAAGUGUGGACGCCAGUCUGCAUGGAGCCGACCUUGAAAUACCACCCUUUAAUGUUUGAUGUUCUAACGUGGGCCCCUUACCGGGGUUGCGGACAGUGUCUGGUGGGUAGUUUGACUGGGGCGGUCUCCUCCUAAAGAGUAACGGAGGAGCACGAAGGUUGGCUAAUCCUGGUCGGACAUCAGGAGGUUAGUGCAAUGGCAUAAGCCAGCUUGACUGCGAGCGUGACGGCGCGAGCAGGUGCGAAAGCAGGUCAUAGUGAUCCGGUGGUUCUGAAUGGAAGGGCCAUCGCUCAACGGAUAAAAGGUACUCCGGGGAUAACAGGCUGAUACCGCCCAAGAGUUCAUAUCGACGGCGGUGUUUGGCACCUCGAUGUCGGCUCAUCACAUCCUGGGGCUGAAGUAGGUCCCAAGGGUAUGGCUGUUCGCCAUUUAAAGUGGUACGCGAGCUGGGUUUAGAACGUCGUGAGACAGUUCGGUCCCUAUCUGCCGUGGGCGCUGGAGAACUGAGGGGGGCUGCUCCUAGUACGAGAGGACCGGAGUGGACGCAUCACUGGUGUUCGGGUUGUCAUGCCAAUGGCACUGCCCGGUAGCUAAAUGCGGAAGAGAUAAGUGCUGAAAGCAUCUAAGCACGAAACUUGCCCCGAGAUGAGUUCUCCCUGAGACUUAGAGUCUCCUGAAGGAACGUUGAAGACGACGACGUUGAUAGGCCGGGUGUGUAAGCGCAGCGAUGCGUUGAGCUAACCGGUACUAAUGAACCGUGAGGCUUAACCUU
rnacentral:rRNA from 1 species